UACGUAGGGGGCAAGCGUUGUCCGGAAUCAUUGGGCGUAAAGCGCGUGUAGGCGGCCCGGUAAGUCCGCUGUGAAAGUCGGGGGCUCAACCCUCGAAUGCCGGUGGAUACUGUCGGGCUAGAGUGCGGGAGAGGCGAGUGGAAUUCCUGGUGUAGCGGUGAAAUGCGCAGAUAUCAGGAGGAACACCAAUUGCGAAGGCAGCUCGCUGGAACGUAACUGACGCUGAGACGCGAAAGCGUGGGUAGCAAACGGG
rnacentral:rRNA from 1 species